UUGGAGUAGCACCCCAAUAGGGUGCCGGGGCUUCUCCCGUUU
rnacentral:tRNA from 1 species